rnacentral:lncRNA from 1 species
UAGCCCUAUUUCAUUAUAAACAACAAUAUAACUCUGUUUAGAGGUGACCUAGCCCUAUUUCAUUAUAAACAACAAUAUAACUCUGUUUAGAGGUGACCUAGCCCUAUUUCAUUAUAAACAACAAUAUAACUCUGUUUGGAGUUGACCUAGCCCUAUUUCAUUAUAAACAACAAUAUAACUCUGUUUAGAGGUGACCUAGCCCUAUUUCAUUAUAAACAACAAUAUAACUCUGUUUAGAGGUGACCUAGCCCUAUUUCAUUAUAAACAAAAGUUGAACUUAGAGAACUUAGUCACUUUUACUUUUAUUGUAAAUUAUUUAACUUGUACUUUUAUUUUUACACUUGUACUUUUAUUGUAUAUUAUUUAACUUUUACUUUUAUUAUGAAAGUAGUGCUUUAAUUGUAAAUUAUUUAACUUUUAAUUUGAUUGUAAAUUAUUAAACUCUUACUUUUAUUAUUUAAAUUGUACUUUUAUUGUAAAUUAUUUCACUUAAUUUUAUUGUAAAUUAUUAAACUUACUUUUAUUAAUUAAAUUGUACUUUAUCGUAAAUUAUUUAACUAACUUUUAUUGUUAAUUAUUUAAAUUUGAAUUUAUUGUAAAUGUAUUGUAAAUUACUUUCAACUGUUAUCAUUUUCCAAUGUACUUUUCCAUGUAUUGUAUAUAUUGUUUACUUUCUAUAAAUGUGUUAUUUUUUUCCAGUUUACUUUGCUAUGUAUAUUCUUUUCAAAUGUAUUAUUAUUAUCUAUGAUUGUGUAUAAUAUUUUUUGUAGCGAUUCUGAAUGCAAUCGACCAGCAUGACGUUCACCUCUCUGUACCUGCAAUCGAGGCAAUGUAACCAUAGAAAAAUAAUUACAAGAACAGUAUUCCUGUUCAUUCUCCCCUGUUCUGAUGGGCUUUUUCCCAGAAAUCUAGAAAUCAUAUAUCUAUGAACGUUAAAAGAAAAAAUCCACUUUUCCUCAGCUGUCCUCUGAAUGUUUGACAGGUGAUUUAACUUUGUAUCAUAUUUUCUUAGCUGCUAUCAAUAGACAUUCAUUUGCUUUUUCAAAAUAUAUAUUUUUGCACUCCUGCAUUUGCAUGACUAUGAUGCACCAACACUUAUAAGUCAGUUGCUUAAGCACCUUAAAUUAAAGUAAAAAAAAGCUGUUAAUUUAUUGUAUCAAAUGAACACAUAUAGAGAAUCAGAGUUUAUAUUAUAAUCAUCAUCAGAAAAUAACCACAUACAGUCAGUACAUCCAUGUAUAGUCAAGAAUAUUUUAUUUCUUUUUUUAUACAUAUCACUGUUGCUAUUGUCAGAAUACACUGUCCAACACAUCAGUUAAAAACAUGAUUUGCUAAAUAUUAAUUUGUUUCCUCAUAUACAGUGCCUUCAGAAUGUAUUCACAGCCAUUUACUUUUUCCACAUUUCGUUGUGUUACAGCCUGAAUUAAACAUGGAUUAAAUUUAGAUUUUGUGUCCCUGGCCUACACACAAUACCCCAUAAUGUCAAAGUAGAAUUGUUUUUAGAAUUUUUUACAAAUGAAUUAAAAAUGAAAAGCUCAAAUGUCUUGAGUCAAUAAGUAUUCAACCCCUUUGUUAUGGUAAGCCUAAAUAAGUUCAGGAUUAAACAUUUGCUUAACAAGUCACAUAAUAAGUUGCAUUGAUUCAUCUGCGUGCAAUAAUAGUGUUUCAGAUGAUUUUUGAACGACUACCUCAUCUCUGUACCCCACACAUACAAUUAUCUCUAAUGUCCUUCAGUCCAGCAGUGAAUUUCAAACACAUAUUCAACCACAAAGAUCAGGGAGGUUUUCCAAUUCCUCGCAAAGAAGGGCACCUAUUGGUAGAUUGGUAAAACUAUAAAAGCAGACAUUGAAUAUCCCUUUGAGCAUGGUGAACUUAUUAAUUACACUUUGGAUGCUGUAUCAAUACACCCAGUCACUACAAAUAUCCAGGCGUCCUUCAGUUGCCAGAAAGGAAGGAAAACUGCUCAGCGAUUUCACCAUGAGGCCGAUGGUGACUUCAAAACAGUUAUAGAGUUUAAAGGAUGUGGAUAGGUGAAAACUGAGGAUGGAUCAACAACAUUGUAGUUACCCCACAAUACUGACCUAAAUGACAGGGUGAAAAGAAGGAAGCCUGUACAGAUUAACAAAUAUUACAAAACAUCCUGUUCACAGGAGGUUGGUGGCACCAUAAUUGACAAAGCGUUAUGUCUGGGGCAAAUCCAACACAACACAUCACUGAAUAGCACUCUUCAUAUUUUCAAGCAGAGUGGUAGUUGCAUCAUGUUAUGGGUAUGCUUGUAAUCGUUAAGGUCUAGAGAGUGUUUUAGGAUAAAAAGAAGCAGAAUAGAGCUAAGCAGAGGCGAAAUCCUAGCGGAAAACCUGGUUCAGUCUGCUUACCAACAGACAGUGGAGACAAAUGCACUUUUCAGCAGGACAAUAACCUAAAACACAAAUCCAAAUAUACACUGGAGUUACUUACCAAGACAACAUUGAAUGUUCCUGAGUGGCCGACUUGUAAUUUUGACUUAAAUCUGCCUUAAGAUCUAUGGCAAAACUUGAAAAUGGCUGUAUAGCAAAGACUAACAACCAACUUGACAGACCUCCAAGAAUGUAAGAAUUUUAAAAAGAAUAAUGUGCAAAUAUUGUACUAUCCAGGUGUGCAAAUCUCUUAGAGACUUACCCAGAAAGACUCACAGCUGUAAUCGCUGUAAUCGCUGAAUACUUAUGUAAAUUUGAUAUUUCUGUAUUUCAUUUUCAAUACAUUUGUAAAAAUGUCUAAAAAACAUGUUUUCACUUUGUAAUUAUGGUGUAUUGUGUGUCGAUGUGUGAGAAAAACAUCUAUGUAAUACAUUUUGAGUUCAGUCUGUAACACAACAACAUGUGGAAUAAGUCAAGGGGUAUGAACACUUUCUGAAGGCUCUGUAAAUACAAGACACAGUCUCAUCAUACAUUUACACAUUUGAUCAUUCUUUUGAGGAUUGUUUUGUUUUGGGACUGAUUGGCUGAGGAAUGGUCAAACAUUUUCCCUUUGAUGUGAUUGGACUGAAAACACCUUCCCUUCGAUGUGGUUGGUCAUUUGAAAUCUAUGCAUGUCGUAAUCAUGACUACAGCAUCCAUCUUGAACAGUGUCCAAAGGAGAUAUUGAUUAUGAGUGUUUUUUAGUGUUGAGUCUGCAUUAAUCAGAGCUUACCUGUGUCAAGUCUAUAAGUCAAUGAUUAGUGUCUUGGAAAACAUGUCACUAUUCUGUCCAACAACAAAAUAGUUUCUUAUUUCAUCAUGAUUGAUCAUACAUGAUGUUUCUCAGUCAAGAUAAUGGAUUGUUGAUUGAUUGUAUAAUACCCUGAUUGAUGUACGAGGCUGACUUUUCUUCCAAAGACAUGUUGUAAAGAAGAGCAUUUUGUUGCAUUGUGUUUUCAUAUGUCAUCAUAAUGCUUAUUAGUGUUUCUGGGACGGACGCAGCGAAACCUUUCUUGGUGAAGCUUAAGGCCUAGAUUCAAUCAGAUCAAGAGUUAACGGGCGAUAGCAGACACCCGCAUAGCUGAUGUUUUGGAGGUGUCGCUGUAAAGCUGAAUUUAAGCUGAAUUUCCACAAUGCGGAUUAAAUAGGAGCCCAAAGACUGGAAAUUGGAAUCUGGGUGGAAAUAUUGUUUUGUUGAUAUUAUUUUAGAACUCACCUGGUUAAAAAGGAUGAAUAAAAAUAUAUAAAUACAAAGAUCAAAUAAUCUGGUGGGUCACAUGGAAAUGAGAAUGAUUUUAGUUGUUGCAGCACACAAAAAAAAUGUUUUUGCACCUUCAGGGGGCGGUUUCCCAGACACAGAUUAAGACUACUCCUGGACUAAAUAGCAAGAUCAAUGUAGAAUCUCCAUUUAAAAAAAUGGAUUAGGAAUCUGUGUCCCUGAAACGUGUCUCUGAAUCUGUGUCCCUGAAACGUGUCUCUGAAUCUGUGUCCCUGAAACGGCCCCUAAAGGUGUUUGAUGGAAGCACAGUAGACCAUAGAUUUCCUAUCUAUAUGAUGUCAUCCAUUUGUCUAACAUGAGGUAUGUCAAUACUGAACACUGUUAUCACUUCAUCCCUAUGGAAAAGCAUAGCAGAAUAUGUAGAAAGAGAAUGAUCAUAUGAUGUAACAUAAUCAGAUUUGGAUAUCACCCUUUUUCUGUAAUAAAUCAUGGCUCUUUUAAAUCAA